CAGAAAUAUUAUUCAUCUAAAUACGUGCAGAUUUUCUUAGAUUUAACUCCUAUAUAAGCUUUAGAGAUGCUUGAAAUGUACAUGCCAUCAAUGGACGGUAAGAUUAAACGUUUGAAUUUGCUUAUUAUUAUUUAAGAAAAAUAAAAUAAAAUAAACAGAAGCCCUUCUUUGCUUUCUAUCCGUCAAACAAGAAAAAAAUCAAAAUUUAAGCAUAUACUCGAAGGAAAAAGGAUUUGGAUGCGGAAGAAGCACAUAUCGCCGAGGAAUUCUCAAUUAUUCAGUGAUGUGAGAUUUGACCAUGCAUUCCAUCUUUUGUCAAAUUUAGCACCCAACCAAGAGCAAUGAUAGCCGUAGUGGGUCCAAGGACCCGGGGCUCCACCAUGUACUGUCGGUUUGAAAUCUCUUCUAACUAUAUCAAAAUAUAUAUCAAAAUUACAUCAGAUCCAAGUCUAAAGUCUCCACUGAAUGAAUUCCAAGGCAACCACAGUAUGAUUCUUGGAUUUCCUGUGCUAUAUAUCAGAAACAAAGUGCACCCAUCUUUGUUUGCAACUCACUGGGAUGUUAGGCAAUUUCCUGUGCAGGCAUGUCGAUAAAUUUCGAUGUCCUAUCGAGCUCUGUGGUUUCAGGCAACGCUAUACCAGACAAGUUCGAACUGUGAAUGUUUAUUCGCAUCAAACAGCGUGAGAUGUUAGAUGUUUCAAGAGUAGGCAGGCUCUAUUGGGCACCGUAAACGUGAAGAUUCUCUGCCCUCGACAACGGGUUUUUCUUUCAAGAAUCUUAGCUGUCCACAGCACCCACCUAAGAAUUUGAUCCCGUUACGUGUAAUGUCGACACCGAAAGUCUGAAUCCCUUUGAGCUGGGCUUAUUCUCAGAAGUCGACUCUAAUUUCGAAGUCAGCCAGUCCAGGCAUAUAAUAUUUUGAUACGAGGUCGCUCUUGGGCCUAUGUGAUUUCUCUCUCUCAUUUACCUAGAGACUCUCUGGCCCAAGUAUAGUUAAAUUAAAUUUUUCGGAAGGGAAGACUAUACAAGUUGAACUUUGAAGCCGAGGCCAUGGCAUAAUCGAUUUAAAAGAGGUGAUGCUGUAUCUCUUAAAUCGUUAUAUAAACGAGUAUAGUUCUGUCAAAUCCUGUUUUUUUUCGCAGGAACUCGAAUAAAUGGAUCGAAUUUGCUGU